rnacentral:lncRNA from 1 species
GUGUGAGUUCAUGUAUUGAUUCAAUUAUUGAUUCAGCCAUCCUAGCUGGAUUGCUGCUUCAAGUGCCGAGGAAAGAGGAUUAGUUUCUUCUUUCUUUUUCCUCCAUCCUUGUUGUUCUUUUAGCUUGCUGAAAGAGAGAGUUGCUCAUUCUUUCAGUUUGCCGAAGGAAGUUCGUGCAUUCAUCAUAUAGAGUUAAUCAAGAACCUAACCGAACAUAGACAAGC